rnacentral:lncRNA from 1 species
UUUUGGUUGUAGCUUUUGUUAUUAGCUUUCCAACAAGAUAAGGCUCGCUCCAUUUGAAGUUAAACUGAAUUUUUGGUGAAAUUUUGAGUGUGAGGGGGUCGAGUGCCUUUGCAGUUUGGAUUAAUCGAGUUUGGGAAGGCAUUUCUCAGUGCCUGAUAACUGGAUUCGUUUGAAAUUAUGGGAGCAUCAAGAUUUGUAAGCUAAGCUUUGAAGGGCAUAAGUUUCGCUGGAUUUAAAGACAAUUUGAAUUUUUAGCGAAUUUCUAAGUGAAUGGGGUUGGUAGCCGCGGCAGUUUGGAUCA